rnacentral:lncRNA from 1 species
ACGUGGCUUGUUGGCUAAGUGAAUGGCAGAGUUAGGCAGACUCAUUUGCUCAUUCCACUGGUCGCCGGUUCGAUCUAUUUGGGUACGAGAAGAAAAGGGAAAUAACAAUAGGAAUAAUAAUUAUUAUUAUGUGAUCAUUAUCCUUAAGGUAUUUCAAAAUACCUUUUUCAUACAAUAAAUUAUAUAUAUAAAAAGGAAGGCUC